GCUCCUGUCGUCUAAUGGCUAGGACAUCACAAAGAACGGUGAAGAUCGGCGUUCAAAUCGUCGUAGGGGCG